rnacentral:rRNA from 1 species
UACGGAGGGUGCAAGCGUUAUCCGGAUUUACUGGGUUUAAAGGGUGCGUAGGUGGGUCUGUAAGUCAGUGGUGAAAUCUCCGAGCUUAACUCGGAAACUGCCAUUGAUACUAUAGAUCUUGAAUUAUCUGGAGGUGAGCGGAAUAUGUCAUGUAGCGGUGAAAUGCUUAGAUAUGACAUAGAACACCAAUUGCGAAGGCAGCUUGCUACAGGAAUAUUGACACUGAGGCACGAAAGCGUGGGGAUCAAACAG